GAUUGACCGCUGGCGGCAUGCCUUACACAUGCAAGUCGAACGGCAGCACGGGUGCUUGCACCUGGUGGCGAGUGGCGAACGGGUGAGUAAUACAUCGGAACAUGUCCUGUAGUGGGGGAUAGCCCGGCGAAAGCCGGAUUAAUACCGCAUACGAUCUACGGAUGAAAGCGGGGGACCUUCGGGCCUCGCGCUAUAGGGUUGGCCGAUGGCUGAUUAGCUAGUUGGUGGGGUAAAGGCCUACCAAGGCGACGAUCAGUAGCUGGUCUGAGAGGACGACCAGCCACACUGGGACUGAGACACGGCCCAGACUCCUACGGGAGGCAGCAGUGGGGAAUUUUGGACAAUGGGCGAAAGCCUGAUCCAGCAAUGCCGCGUGUGUGAAGAAGGCCUUCGGGUUGUAAAGCACUUUUGUCCGGAAAGAAAUCCUUGGCUCUAAUACAGUCGGGGGAUGACGGUACCGGAAGAAUAAGCACCGGCUAACUACGUG
rnacentral:rRNA from 1 species